UACGUAGGGUCCGAGCGUUGUCCGGAAUUACUGGGCGUAAAGAGCUCGUAGGUGGUUUGUCGCGUUGUUCGUGAAAACUCACAGCUUAACUGUGGGCGUGCGGGCGAUACGGGCAGACUAGAGUACUGCAGGGGAGACUGGAAUUCCUGGUGUAGCGGUGGAAUGCGCAGAUAUCAGGAGGAACACCGGUGGCGAAGGCGGGGUCUCUGGGCAGUAACUGACGCUGGAGGAGCGAAAAGCGUGGGGGAGCGAACAGG
rnacentral:rRNA from 1 species